rnacentral:rRNA from 1 species
GACGUAGAGUGCGAGCGUUGUCCGGAUUUAUUGGGCGUAAAGAGCUCGUAGGCGGCUCGUCGCGUCAGCUGUGAAAACCCGCGGCUUAACCGUGGGCUUGCAGCUGAUACGGGCGGGCUAGAGUUCGGUAGGGGAGACUGGAAUUCCCGGUGUAGCGGUGAAAUGCGUAGAGAUCGGGAAGACCAUCGGUGGCGAAAGCGCUCUACUGGACCGCAACUGACACUCAGGGACGAAAGCUAGGGGAGCGAAUGGG